CGACCGCUGGCGGCGUGCCUACUACAUGCAAGUUGAGCGCUGAAGGUUGGUACUUGUACCAACUGGAUGAGCAGCGAACGGGUGAGUAACGCGUGGGGAAUCUGCCUUUGAGCGGGGGACAACAUUUGGAAACGAAUGCUAAUACCGCAUAAAAACUUUAAACACAAGUUUUAAGUUUGAAAGAUGCAAUUGCAUCACUCAAAGAUGAUCCCGCGUUGUAUUAGCUAGUUGGUGAGGUAAAGGCUCACCAAGGCGAUGAUACAUAGCCGACCUGAGAGGGUGAUCGGCCACAUUGGGACUGAGACACGGCCCAAACUCCUACGGGAGGCAGCAGUAGGGAAUCUUCGGCAAUGGACGAAAGUCUGACCGAGCAACGCCGCGUGAGUGAAGAAGGGUUUCGGAUCGUAAAACUCUGUUGGUAGAGAAGAACGUUGGUGAGAGUGGAAAGCUCAUCAAGUGACGGUAACUACCCAGAAAGGGACGGCUAACUACGUG
rnacentral:rRNA from 1 species